rnacentral:rRNA from 1 species
UACAGAGGGUGCAAGCGUUAAUCGGAAUUACUGGGCGUAAAGCGUGCGUAGACGGUAGCGUAAGUCGGGUGUGAAAGCCCCCGGGCUCAACCUGGGAAUUGCAUUCGAGACUGCUCUGCUAGGGUGCGGAAGAGGGGAGCGGAAUUUCCGGUGUAGCGGUGAAAUGCGUAGAUAUCGGAAGGAACACCAGUGGCGAAAGCGGCUCCCCUGGUCCAGCACCGACGUUCAGGCACGAAAGCGUGGGGAGCAAACAGG